rnacentral:lncRNA from 1 species
AAGGCCGGGGCGCCAAGUUGUUCAGCGGUAAAAGGCCACAAAAACGGGUGGGCUAUAGCCUUGGGGGGUGGGGCUGGCCCACUUCGUCCGCCGGACUCGGCAGGCCGCGAGACUUUGCGAGGGGCCUCCGUGUGCCAAAAAUAGGCCGUGGGCAAACCACGCCCAAAAAUAACCGCCCGAAGGCCGGGACGUCAAGUUCGUCCAGCGGAAAAAGGCCACAAAAACGGGUGGGCUAUAGCCUUGGGGGGUGGGGCUGGCCAACUUCGUCCGCCGUAGUCGGAAUGCCGCGAGACUUUGCGAGGGGCCUCCGUGUCCCAAAAAUAGGCCGCGGAUGAAGCCGCACCCAAAAAUAACCGCCCGAAGGCCGGGUCGCCAUGUUCAUCCAGCGGAAAAAGGCCACAAAAACGGGUGGGCUAUAGCCUUGGGGGGUGGGGCUGGCCGACUUCGUCCGCCGGACUCAGAAUGCCGUGAGACUUUGCGACGGGCCUCCGUGUGCCAAAAAUAGGCCGCGGGCAAAGGCGCACCCAAAAAUAACCGCCCGAAGGCCGGGGCGCCAAGUUCGUCCGGCGGAAAAAGGCCAGAAAAACGGGUGGGCUAUAGCCUUGGGGGGUGGGGCUGGCCAUCUUCGUCCGCCGGACUCGGAAUGCCGUGAGACUUUGCGAGGGAUCUCCGUGUGCCAUAAAUAAUCCGCGGGCAAAACCGCGCCUAAAAAUAACCGCCCGAAGGGUCCAGCGGAAAAAGGCCACAAAAACGGGUGGGCUAUAGCCUUGGGGGGUGGGGCUGGCCAACUUCGUCUGCCGGACUCGGAAUGCCACGAGACUUUGCGAGGGGCCUCCAUGUCCCAAAAAUAGGCCGCGGGCAAAGCCGCGCCCAAAAAUAACCACCCGAAGGCCGGGUCUCCAAGUUCGUCCAGCGGAAAAAGGCCACAUAAACGGGUGGGCUAUAGCCUUGGGGGGUGGGGCUGGCCGACUUCGUCCGCCGGACUCAGAAUGCCGCGAGACUUUGCGACGGGCCUCCGUGUGCCA